ACCUGCAAAGCCCCAGGUUCUGUCACUUCCUCGAGUCUUCAUUUACUGCCUAGGUGGCAGGAAACUGACAUUAUACGUACCUGUGUGCCCUCGUCUUGAUAAUUUUGUUACAGAGUCCCGAGCAGUGAAUUUAAGACAGGCAGAAGGAAAACAUUUUCUCUCCAUAAUGAGAACUACGAAAACUGUCAGAAGUCUAACAUAUAACUGCUCCCUUCCCUCCUGUAUGGGGAACUCCAGUUUUACUAAUCUAGGGACAAGGAGGCUUGCUUUUCUUUCCCUCACUCUUUUUUUCUUUCUCUUUCCUAUUUACUGGGGAUUGAACUCAGGGCCUUAGCACUAAUGACAUCCCCAGCCCUUUUUCGUUUUUUUGUUAUUUUUAAAUUUUGAGAUAGGAUCUCCUGUAGUGUUUAAGUUGUCUGCGCGAAGUUCAAACUUUCAGCCCUCCUGCCUCAGCCUCCCAGUGCUGAAACCACAGCUGGCUUUUCAUUAAAAGCAAAUAUUCCUGAGCCUUUCUCAGGUAAAAGGUCACAUUCCACAUACAGUUCCACCUCACUUUGCUUCCUUUGGCCUAGGGGUGCUUCCUGGUGGGAGAAAGGACCUUCACUCCUGUUCAAAGCUGCGAGCUCUGUGGUGCUCACUAACCAGUGCCGUGCCAGGGGCCCGGACACUUCCACAUCUUCCAGGAGUGCACGUGGAAACUUCAUUCGUCAUGACAGGCCUGUCCAACUCCUUCCGGGCACUCCUGCUGGCUCCUGAUAAAGGCGGUACUGUAAUUCCAAGCUUAACCAAUGGCUAAGCGGGACACACGUGCACACACAUGUAUGCUCAGUGGUCACACCAGCACCUGCAGGCUGGUCACUCUGAGUUCCUGCUCGCCUCCCCACCCCACCCCCACUGCAGGAGUCACCCUGCCCUGGGACCCUCGGCUCUGUCAGGCUCCUGACCUCAGCGGGGCAAGGCCACUGCCCGAGGGGUCUGUGAUGAGCCCCUGUAUGUCACUACGUCCAGGGAGGUAGGACACACCUGGUUUGCUCCCCACUGCACGCUCAGCCUUUGUCACAGUGUCAGGUAUGUGGCAGGUGCCCUAUUUUUUUGUUCAGUGAACGAGUGUUGCAAUUUGUACAAUACAAGAAACUACCCUGUUCUAUGAAAAUUCAACCCAACUCACGUCUGUACCUAGCACUUUUUCAAGGAGACACAUCUUUGACCACCAUCUGCAUUUCACCCCCAGUUCCUGUUCUGUGCAGGUGUUCUGCCUCCAAGGGCCAUUCUGGUCAUUUCUUCAUUCUCCGGAAAGUACUUACAGGCCCUCAAAGUCAUCACCAUCAAGGUGCAUGCGCUGUGUUCUUAAUGUGCAGUCUUGGACCCGCUGCUACCUCCCUUUCAUUCUCAUUUCUUCCUAAUCUGACUUCCCAAAAGCAAAACCCAAUUUGCCUCCUUUUUGGGGGGUUAAUUUCACCUUUCUAGUGUCUGAAUCUGAAAGCUCAAUUCAAUUACUUUCUUGUUCUCUGCUUAAAGGCAUUUAAGGCUGUACAGCAUCAUUCUCCUGAGACCUGUUUGUCCCUCAUCCACAGGUGAGGAUGUAUAACCACGCUAAUUCACUCCAACAGAUGGAUCUAAUUUUUGAUCUCCUCUUUAAUCCAAGAGAUAUGCAGGGAAUCUUGAAGUCCAGCUUUGUUCCCUUGUGCACACCAUGUUGUUUCUGCUCUGCGAUGCCCGUUUGUCAUCCCUGACUUGGAGUCAGCUGAUUAUGGACUGAAACCUCUUAUGAACUGGCCUCGCUAUGUAGUUCAAGCUGGUCUUG